rnacentral:rRNA from 1 species
GAGUUUGAUUCUGGCUCAGAUUGAACGCUGGCGGCAUGCUUUACACAUGCAAGUCGAACGGCAGCACAGGGAGCUUGCUCCUGGGUGGCGAGUGGCGAACGGGUGAGUAAUGUAUCGGAACGUGCCUGGUAGUGGGGGAUAACCACUCGAAAGAGUGGCUAAUACCGCAUGAGAUCUCUGGAUGAAAGCGGGGGACCUUCGGGCCUCGUGCUACUGGAGCGGCCGAUAUCAGAUUAGGUUGUUGGUGGGGUAAAGGCCUACCAAGCCUGCGAUCUGUAGCUGGUCUGAGAGGACGACCAGCCACACUGGGACUGAGACACGGCCCAGACUCCUACGGGAGGCAGCAGUGGGGAAUUUUGGACAAUGGGCGCAAGCCUGAUCCAGCAAUGCCGCGUGCAGGACGAAGGCCUUCGGGUUGUAAACUGCUUUUGUACAGAACGAAAAGUCUCUGGCUAAUAUCUAGAGAUCAUGACGNUAC